GCAUCUAUUUUAAGGAUAUUGAGACCAAAUAGACCUAAGAGUUGAAUUCGGGAGGAAGUUCUCCCCGAAGAAAAAACGAGAUCAUGGUUAACGCUCGCUUUGGUUGGUAACUUGGAACCAUGUGCCCAGCUCCUCUUACAGUGAUGAGGAAUACCAGGGACGCCAUGUUGUCUCCACUGGAAGUUUCAAGGCAUUUACUGAAUACCUAGAUGAUGUUAUGGGAACGCGCCCAUCUGUAUCACCACUGCAUUAUAGAACAACAACGUUACAAAAAAGCCAUGAUAGUACUGUCUUCGAUGUAACAAAGUAAUUUGUAUAGUGUACUAUCACCUAUAUAUCCAGGUCCUUAUGCCACUUGAUAUUAUCCGAUUUAUAGUGGGUAGAAUUGUUGCUGGGCUGUCUGUCCAUCCCACUCCACUGAACACAAGCGUCACAUGCAUAUUCAUUCAGGAAAUAGAACAGUUACAAUUCAUUCAGGAAAAUGCAUUGAGAAAAACACAAUCAGAGAAUUGUGUACCUGCAAGGAGACCAUUCUGAGACUUUAGCAUGAAGAGCCUCUUGCACUUGAGCCAGAUUCAAGUAGGAUUUAGUAUAUUCGUCAGAACAAGGGUCGAAAUUGCUGUCCUACAAUGUUCGAUAUUCAAGAGUUUUAUGCCUUAGUUUUCACCAAAAUAAUAUUACUCCAUUCAUCUAUGCGUUCUUAAUAUUCACAAGCACUAAUCUCAAAUGAACUGUCUGUCAAAUAUUGACAAAGGCAAUAUACACCAUAUUAGAUUAUAUAAGUAUUCCUCUUUCUCACUGUAGGUAUAGGUAAUUUCUCUGUAAAUUAGUAUGAUCAAAUUUGUUUAUUAGGUAUUCAAAGUUGGAGGAGCAACAAUUGGAGGUAAAGAAGUGCAUUCACAACAUACUCCUUUCAAGGUACAUAAGGGAAGCAACAAUUGGAGGGAGUAAAAGUUCUAAACACUUGACAAGUAUUACGUUGAUUUACAUCAAGCGCACACAAAUGUAACAACUAGUUUUUGUGUAACUAUGCCUACUCUGUUUUGGUAACUUAUAUACAUGGUAAUUUCUAAAUCUUAAAACUACAAAAUAGAGUUUUGGAAGGAGACAACGAAAUUCCAUUAAAGAUGAGUUGAACUUA